CUAAGACCCAUGGAUUUGUUUCCUGAUUUUACUUGCAUCUAAAUGAAAUGCCCAAACAUCCCAGCGUCUGACCUUCCAUGGAAAAAGUCAGAAUAGACACCGGUGAAAUUACAUCAGAAAGACAUGAAAGGACGUAGACAAUUAUGGGAAGCCAUUUUAGACUAAAAACAUCGGCAUCAGCAGCAAGGAGCUGAGUGUGUGGCAAAGCUGUCCAUUACAAUGCUCUGUGAGAACCUGAUGAAUCCCAGCAGGAUCCAAGUCAGCCUGAACUUCUCACAACCUGCCGGUACUCUUUUCUGCCCUCUCCAUAUCAUGCCUGGGGGGGCGGAUACACUUCGAGAACUAUUUAUACCAUACUAUAGGUAUUUUUCUCUACUUUCUUAGAUUUAGAUCACAGAGACCAGGUAUAUAUAUUAAUUGAAAUUGGCACUGAGUGUUUAAGAUACCUGUGUGGAAUUUAGUGAGAGCCAGAGUGACAUGAUGGACAGAUGGGACGGUGGGCAAUAUGAACUGAAAGAUGGAUUUUGGUAGAUGGAUAGAUAAGUACAUGUUCGUCGGUUAUAAUGCCUUUGUUCAGUCUUAUACAUUUUGUGUGGGAGUAGAGGGAAGGACACAAAGGUUUCUCUCAGUUUUAAUUAAGUGGUGAGGGAAUGAGGCAAGAGAGCUUGCUGCUGGGUAAUGAGCGUGGAUCACUGAGGGGCCUGUGUGACAGGUGACGCGGCUGGUUAGAAGAGACCGGGUGUUGAUGGUCAGGUCAGCUCUG